rnacentral:lncRNA from 1 species
UACACAUGACAACAAUACAAUUAAGGGGGAGGGCACAACAAUAUACAUACACUCACAGGAUUCCAUCAUCUUUCAUUUUUUGAUGACAAUAUACACACACACGUAAGAUGUACAGAGCUUCCUCACCAUUUCGUCUCUCAAUACAUACAAACACCUCAUACACGCACAUACCCCUCAAUUCACCAAUACACAGUUCCCACAGCCCACAUUACACAGAUUACACUCGCAGUAAUUCUCACACACACACACUGAAAAUUGGAGGGAGAUUGAGAGUGAAGAGAGAGAUUGAGAAAGACAGUGAUUGGAAAUCUGAGAGGAGAGAGGAAACAGACGUCGAAUGACACUAUUUCGGCGAGAACCCGCCAAAAAAGGUUGAAAACUCGGCUGAUUCACCAAUUCCCAUCGCUACUAGAGCUCACUGAAGCUCCGGCAAAAUAAUAACAACAAAACAUCCCUCUCCCGUCCCCGUCUUCGGUAAAUUCAUCGGAGAACAAAUUCCAAAUCUACCUGACCAGUCCCAGAUUCGGCGGAAAUUGUCAAAAAAUGAACGAAGCAGUAGUGGGGUGUGCAAAUUCGAGUACGGGUCUUUUGUUAUUUUCUUGAUUUUGAUCUAGGUUGGCGAAAAACAGAGAAAAAGGGUAUAUCGUGGUCGGGUUUAUUAGUGGAGGUUUGAAUUGAGGUUUUUCGGGCGCGCUUCUAUCUUCGAUAUAUCAAAAUCGACAAUUGAGGUCCAAUUCUUCUCUUUUCCUCUUUUUAUUUCAUUGUUUAUUAUAUUUGGUGUGUUGGAUUAAAUAUCAUGUGUUGUUUGAUCCUUGUUGGUGAUGAAUAGUGUCUUGGUAUCGAUUGAUUGUUGAUUUCGUUGAUUAUGUAUGAUGCGAUGAAACGAUAUAAUCACUUGAGAUUUGAAAUCUGUAAUUUGAGUAUAGAAUUGGGGGUGGGAAUUAAAAGAUUAAUAAGGUGCAUGUUGAUUAUUUUUAUUCAUUGAUGGAUAUGGUUGAAAUCGAUAGUAUCAUAUUUUAGAUCGUUUAAUGGGUAGACAAAUACUAAGUUUGGGUAGGCAAAUUAUAGAAAUAGAAGAUGAUGAUUUGUUGAAUGUGUGGAUGUCUUGUUGAAUGGUUCUUUCUAUUUUCAACGCACAAAAUUGAAAAAAUGUAUUCAUUUGACCGGAGAAUGCACCGAGGUCUUAUGUACUUAUUCAUUGGGGAAUACCUCAAAGCAUCUUGUACUCGAAGAGCAUUCGUGAUGAAGGUCCGAGGCAUUGGGUAAAGCAUAGAAAUGUAGUUUAGGAUUAGUAAGUAGGUUUACAUUUCCAUAUUUUUCUAUUUUUGGAACUGUAAUAAUUGGGAUGAAAACUAUAUACUUGUUUUGUUUUGUUUAUUUGAUUGAUUGUUUUGUGUGUUUUAUGUAAUUUAUACAUUCAUAGUGUCAAAUUAGCCGAUAUGCUCCACCAAACGAAUAUGGUCGAACCACGGGAUCGAGGGGUGCCUAACACCUUUCCCUCGGUCAACAGAAUUCCUUAAUCGAAAUCUCUAUUCGUGGAUCAGUUUUAAAGAGUCAAAAUCAUUUUCAAAAAGGAUAUCCAAGGGUGACUUGGCACAGCCGAUUUAUGCCAAGUGCCGACUCUGAGUUUUGAAUAUAAAAAGUUAUUUUCGAAACAAAUCUUCAUUUUGUCACUUAAUAAUAAAACCCUUUUUCAAACCUUAAAUUAAUUCUUUUUUGUUAAUAAAAGGGUGUGACUGCUCUGGCGACUCUGCUGGGGACAUUUUCAGUAGUCGAGCUUAUUUUUGAUAUUGUAUCGGCUUAGUUUAACAUUAUGAUUGUAUAGACGUUGUUUGCGAUAUUGUUUGUACACCCUCCAUCCCAAAUUAUAUGUCGCCAUUUUCUUUUCGGUCCGUCCCAAAAAGAAUGUCGCCUUUCCUUAUUAGGUAAGUUCUUAAAGACACAAUUACAAUUUUACCCUUAGUGGUCCUACUUGAUUUUAAAUACUAUUACUCAUUUUUUAUUUGUUUUUUCAAUUAAAAGUGGCCCAGCUUGAUUUUAAAUACUAUUACUAUAAUUUUGUAACUUUAACAAAGUCAACACUUAUUUCUUAAAUAUUGUGUCCGGUCAAAUAACGACAUAUAACUUGAGAUGGAGGGAGUAUUUAUUUUAUCAUUGUUAAUUGCCUACUUGCUACGUUUUUAUAGUUUUUACUCUUAUGUGUUACCGCUUUAUAUCUGACAUCAUUUGUAUAACCCGAGUCAAUUUUUUCUGCAACAAGUCUCGGAGUACACGUUGUGUACACGAACUCUAGUUGAGUCACCCUUAUUGUAGGAGGGGGACCCGUCAGAUGUAUGGAGUAGGUGGAAAGCAAAGCAACCACUAUUGACCAUAUGCUCCUUGAACGUCCUUGUCAGUGGACCCCAACGUAGGUCAGCCUUUAGAUCAUGCUUAUCUACAUCAUAUUGAGACCUAGCGGGACCUACUUGAUCCUUUGUAAGAGACUCGCCCAUAAAGCAUCUCUACGUGCUAAUUGUUGCAUCUUUGAGGGUAAUAUGAUCAUUUGAUGGACUGGUUUAGGGAAAACAUGUGUUAGAAUUAAAGGAGCGUGUGUUACGCAAGGAAAAAGAAAAGAAAAAAAAGAGUUUAGGAGUUUUUUUAGUGACCUUUAUGGCUUUUGUUUUUCACAAUUCAAAAAUUCAAAAAGACUUUUUACCUUUUGCACUCAUUUACUCAAAAAACAAAAUAUCAAAAAGAUUUUGCCUUUGUUUCUUUCUUUUAGCAAGCAUUCAUAAUUUGAAAAUUUCAAAAAAGAUUUUUUUUUUUGGAGUUAUUUUUUAUAAAGGAAAAAUUCAAAAAAAAUGAUAGAAGUUUUGUACAUUUCAUGUAACGAAAUACAAAAAGUUUUUUCUUUCAUAAUUGUUGGUGUCAAUCUUAUGUGAAGUGUCCAAUUGAACCCCCCCCCCCCCCCAAAAAAAAAAGAUUUUAUUGACAUUUUUUAUCAUCCAUCUUUGGUCAUGUCUAUCAAGUAAAGGUUCAGUUUGUUGUUUAAUCCUUAAUUAUCCAAUCUGGACGAAUUACACAUACCUGAUUCUUCUCUCUCGGGGCUGACAUACGUAGGCACCCCUUCCAGGGUUCAGUAAUCUUAUUUACAAAAACCACAAAAAGAUUUUUCUUUAAUUGUUUCAAGUUUAUUUUCGUAUGAAAUUCAAAAUUGAAACCCUAAAAAGGAUUCUUCUUUGGUAAUUAGAGGUUUCGUUUUGUAUAGAAAUCUGAAAAAAUUCAAAAAAAAUUUAUUCACUCUUCAUUUAGAGUAGGUAUCAUAUACAUCUCUAAAAGAAAACGACAAAAGAUUUUCUUUUAAUAGUUUCAAGUUUCAUUUUCGUAUGAAAUUCAAAAUUGAAAACUCAGAACGAGUUUCCUUUGGUGACCAUAAGUUUCAUUUUGUAUAGGAAGCUGAAAAAUUCAAAAAGAUUUUCGUCAAUUCUAUUGGCAAUUUGUUAUUUUCUUUUCUUCUUAAAGUUUCAAGAAAAAGAAAAAAAGAAAGAGAGUUGAUCGGUCGUUUUGUGGCCAAAUUUCAUGAACUACACACACCUGAUUUUACUCUCUCGGGAGUGAGAUAUGUAGGCGCCCUUCUUGGGUUCGGUGAUCUUUUUAAAAAAAAAAGAAAGAAAAAGAUUUUUAAAAAAGAUGUUGAACUCCAACACAUUUGUUAUCUCUUGUUCAGUUAGUUUAAGGUGGUUGGUUUGUGGCAUUUUGAUUGGUCCUCCAUAUCACACCAAGUCUAAGGGAGAGUUAGUCAUGUCCAACAAGGAUAUAGAGAGUGACAUCAUGGAUCAGACGAAGGGUAAAAAAAUGAGAGUUUAAAGGAAGAGAUUUUGAGACUAAGGUAACAAAUGAUAGAAAUACACCGAUCUUGGGCCAGUGGGUUGCCUUCCUACUAUCGUUGAUGCACCACAACAUGCCUCGAAAUUCAUGACAUGUCAGCUGCAUCCCAAUACUUCCACCACCUCUUCUCUAUCUCCUCAAUAUAAGCCUACUAUAUUCGCAACACCAUAUGUCGUCUGUGAUUUGUUGCUCAACCCUCUAUUGAGGCUUCCACAUUGGCUAUCCGUCCAAUGAUUGUGGUUUCCCAGGCCACUAGUGAACCCAUGUUCAAUACUCUUGAUAAUCAUUUCUAUACUUAUUAGCCACUUUUAAGUUAACUGGACCACCAAAAUUUCUUACCAAGAAGUCCGACAUGGCAGAAGAGCAAAUGGUUUGGAAAAUGAAGGGUAUAGAAAAUACUAUGAAAAGUUCCCUAGGACUCGUAGAUAAAGAAGAUGUUUCAUAUAAAUAUUGAGGCAUGUCUUCAAGUUUCAACCUUUUUCAAAGAUUUUAGAUAUUGAAAUUUGAAGAACAUGAUGGACAUUAGGAUUCUGUGAAACAUUUGGUACGAUACUGCAAUAAAUCAAAGGAAGCUGAAGGGAAAAAGAAGGAAGACGUACCUAUUGUCGUGCCAGGGCCAAAGCAGAGAUUGAGAGGUCCAACUCACUAAUACUGUCAGCAUCAAUCCCUAUCUUACUUAUUAGAUCCACAUACUCACCUACAACACGGUUUCUCAUUCCAAAAUCCAAGAUAUUCUACUUUACUUCCUCAAUAUCCUUUGAAAAAUGCACAAUUGUAUACUCGUCUGUUAUCUUAUCCACAAUGGCAAGCACCGAUCCCUCAACAUCAUCCUCAGCCCCCCCAUAUAUUUACCAAGGUGCCUCUAAAUCCAAGUUUCAACCAAGGCUAGAGUUUUUAAAGAGGAUGAAGGAAAGGGGUAAUUUCACUCAUAUUGGGGAAUCCUAUGCCAGUUUGUUCCAUAGAUUGAGAUAGUGGGGCUUGAUUACUCCUCUCCUUAGGUAUACACUCGACUCACAUUCAAGAAAUUUUGACCCUAAUGUAUGGUGCGAAUAUCAUUCUGAUGUCUAGGGUCAUAAUAUUAAAGAUUGUCGUAAUUUGAAAAGAGAAAUAGAAAAGAUGAUUCAAGAAAAGUGAUUGUUGCAAAAUGUUGACACCUCGAGCGUUACACAGAAUCCUUCAUCAACACAUGGUGAUGCACAGUACGUGGGAAGUAAUGAGUUGGGCAUGAGGAUCCAAAACUUAUUUGUUGAGGGAAAUGUGUUUGAUGGUGAUGAAAGCUCUAAUCAUGAUGUGCAAAUCAAUGGCUAAGAUGUCAAGCUCAGCAAUUGGGAACUCACUCUUCUCCCUGCUAGGAUAAAUGUUUGGUAGUUUGUUUUCUUUUCUUUUCUAUUAUCUGAAUUAUUUCAGAGUUGUAGUUCGGGAUCUAUCUUGUUUUGCCCCUUUGUCGUUUAUGUUCAAACCCUUCCAUCUUUCAUUUAAACUAAAUGGAGUGCCCCUUUUUCCUUUGUGU